UACGUAGGGGGCUAGCGUUAAUCGGAAUUACUGGGCGUAAAGCGUGCGCAGGCGGUUUUGUAAGCCAGAUGUGAAAGCCCCGGGCUCAACCUGGGAAUGGCGGUGGAAACUGGCAAGCUAGAGUGUGGCAGAGGGGGGUGGAAUUCCACGUGUAGCAGUGAAAUGCGUAGAGAUGUGGAGGAACACCAAUGGCGAAGGCAGCCCCCUGGGUCAACACUGACGCUCAGGCACGAAAGCGUGGGGAGCAAACAGG
rnacentral:rRNA from 1 species